UUGCAUAUACUAGGUUAGAUCAGAGAUAGGUUGGCCUCCGGAGCCAAAGGUCAGAGGUUCGAAUCCUCUCGGGCGCGCCA
rnacentral:tRNA from 1 species